UACGUAGGGUGCGAGCGUUAAUCGGAAUCACUGGGCGUAAAGCGCACGUAGGCGGAUGUGCCAGUCAGGGGUGAAAUCCCGGAGCUCAACUUCGGAACUGCCUCUGAUACAGCACGUCUUGAGUCCGGAAGAGGUGGGUGGAAUUCCUAGUGUAGAGGUGAAAUUCGUAGAUAUUAGGAAGAACACCAGUGGCGAAGGCGGCUCACUGGCCCGGUACUGACGCUGAGGUGCGAAAGCGUGGGGAGCAAACAGG
rnacentral:rRNA from 1 species